CAAUUUAUUGAUUGGACGACAUCUGAGCUCAAUGGCAAAAAAAUAAUUCCAUUUGUUGCUAGGCUUUGCAAUGUCGAGUGCCUAGAGUUAGGUUUGUCAAAUUGUAACGAGUUCUUUACGCAAAUGGAACAAUUACCGCCUAAUCAUCAAUAAGAAGAGAGAGAGAGAGA